rnacentral:tRNA from 1 species
UGGCUCAGUUGGUAGAGCAUGGUUUUUGCAACGCCAGGGUUGUGGGUUCGAUUCACAC